rnacentral:rRNA from 1 species
UACAGAGGUCCCAAGCGUUGUUCGGAUUCAUUGGGCGUAAAGGGUGCGUAGGUGGCGCGGUAAGUCGGGUGUGAAAUCUCGGGGCUUAACUCCGAAACUGCAUUCGAUACUGGCGUGCUUGAGGACUGGAGAGGAGACUGGAAUUCAUGGUGUAGCAGUGAAAUGCGUAGAGAUCAUGAGGAAGACCAGUGGCGAAGGCGGGUCUCUGGACAGUUCCUGACACUGAGACACGAAGGCCAGGGGAGCAAACGGG